GCGCUCGUAGCUCAGCUGGAUAGAGCAACAGCCUUCUAAGCUGUGGGCCCCAGGUUCGAGUCCUGGCGGGCGCA
rnacentral:tRNA from 2 species